AACAAAUUAAUAAAUUAAUAAAUUGAUAAAUUAAUAAAUUAAUAAAUUGAUAAAUUAAUAAAUUAAUAAAUUAAUAAAUUGAUAAAUAAAUUAAUUGAAAGGUCACCCACCACCCUCCUGCAGUGGGAGGGUGAGGAAGGGCCCGAUUUGCCUGGUUAAUUAAAAAUAUGGCCCAUUAAAAAACCGAUUAAAAGGCCGAUUAAAAGGUCAAUUAAAAGGACAAUUAAAAGGACAAUUAAAAGGUCAAUUAAAAGGCCGAUUAAAAGGACAAUUAAAAGGACAAUCAAAAGGACAAUUAAAAGGUCAAUUAAAAGGCCAAUUAAAAGGCCAAUUAAAAGGCCACCCAUCACCCUCCUGCUGCGGGGGGGGGGCAGUGGAUUUUGGGGAUGGUUUUUUUCCCCCUCGGAAAAGAAGGGGUUUGACCCUGAACACCCCAAAACAGGAGCUCGGGGUGGGACGUGUGAGUCCUGAGAAAGGGUCAGAGAAGUUCACAGAGGGGGGAAAAAAAUCCCUCAGAGUUUAAAAAAGGAAGAGAAAAAUUCCUCAGAGUUUAAAAAAGGAAGAGAAAAAUCCCUCAGAGUUUAAAAAAGGAAGAGAAAAAUUCCUCAGAGUUUAAAAAACGAAGAGAAAAAUUCCUCAGAGUUUAAAAAAGGAAGAGAAAAAUCCCUCAGAGUUUAAAAAAGGAAGAGAAAAAUUCCUCAGAGUUUAAAAAACGAAGAGAAAAAUUCCUCAGAGUUUAAAAAGGAAGAGAAAAAUCCCUCAGAGUUUAAAAAAGGAAGAGAAAAAUUCCUCAGAGUUUAAAAACGAAGAGAAAAAUUCCUCAGAGUUUAAAAAGGAAGAGAAAAAUCCCUCAGAGUUUAAAAAACGAAGAGAAAAAUUCCUCAGAGUUUAAAAACGAAGAGAAAAAUCCCUCAGAGUUUAAAAAGGAAGAGAAAAAUCCCUCAGAGUUUAAAAAAGGAAGAGAAAAAUCCCUCAGAGUUUAAAAAGCGAAGAGAAAAAUCCCUCAGAGUUUAAAAAAGGAAGAGAAAAAUUCCGUUUGAGGGCGUUCUGGGGGGUUUGGGGGUCGCCCAGAGGCUCUCGGGCACCACCUGAGAGCUAAAAAUGGG
rnacentral:lncRNA from 1 species